rnacentral:rRNA from 1 species
AGGGUUUGAUCAUGGCUCAGAACGAACGCUGGCGGCAGGCCUAACACAUGCAAGUCGAGCGGGGAGAUGUAGCUUGCUACAUUACCUAGCGGCGGACGGGUGAGUAAUGCUUAGGAAUCUGCCUAUUAGUGGGGGACAACAUUCCGAAAGGAAUGCUAAUACCGCAUACGCCCUACGGGGGAAAGCAGGGGAUCUUCGGACCUUGCGCUAAUAGAUGAGCCUAAGUCAGAUUAGCUAGUUGGUGGGGUAAAGGCCUACCAAGGCGACGAUCUGUAGCGGGUCUGAGAGGAUGAUCCGCCACACUGGGACUGAGACACGGCCCAGACUCCUACGGGAGGCAGCAGUGGGGAAUAUUGGACAAUGGGCGAAAGCCUGAUCCAGCCAUGCCGCGUGUGUGAAGAAGGCCUUUUGGUUGUAAAGCACUUUAAGCGAGGAGGAGGCUACUUAGAUUAAUACUCUAGGAUAGUGGACGUUACUCGCAGAAUAAGCACCGGCUAACUCUGUGCCAGCCGCCGCGGUAAUAC